rnacentral:rRNA from 1 species
GACGAACGCUGGCGGCGUGCCUAAUACAUGCAAGUAGGACGCAGUUGCGAAAGGGUGAGUAACGCGUAGGUCACUACCUAUUAGAGGGGGAUAAAUACUGGAAACGAUAGCUAAUACCGCAUACUCAUAGAUGGACCUGCGUUGUAUUAGGUCGGAGGUAGGGUAAUGGCCUACCUAGGCAACGAUACAUAGACGGGCUGGGAAGGAGGACCGGCACAAUGGGACUGGGGCACGGGCCAAAACCCUACGGGAGGCAGGAGUAGGGAAAUAUCGGAAAUUGGGGGAACGCGGACCGAGCAACGCCGCGGUAGUGAAGAAGGUUUUCGGAUCUUAAAGCUCUGUUGUUAAGGAAGCGGUACUUAACCAGAAAGGGACGGCUAACUACGUGCCAGCAGCCGCGGUAAUUC